AACGAACGCUGGCGGCAUGCCUAACACAUGCAAGUCGAACGAGACCUUCGGGUCUAGUGGCGCACGGGUGCGUAACGCGUGGGAAUCUGCCCUUGGGUUCGGAAUAACAGCGAGAAAUUGCUGCUAAUACCGGAUGAUGACGUAAGUCCAAAGAUUUAUCGCCCAAGGAUGAGCCCGCGUAGGAUUAGCUAGUUGGUGAGGUAAAGGCUCACCAAGGCGACGAUCCUUAGCUGGUCUGAGAGGAUGAUCAGCCACACUGGGACUGAGACACGGCCCAGACUCCUACGGGAGGCAGCAGUGGGGAAUAUUGGACAAUGGGCGAAAGCCUGAUCCAGCAAUGCCGCGUGAGUGAUGAAGGCCUUAGGGUGUAAAGCUCUUUUACCCGGGAUGAUAAUGACAGUACCGGAGAAUAAGCUCCGGCUAACUCCGUGCCAGCAGCCG
rnacentral:rRNA from 1 species